CCGAGUUUACAACUCCCAAACCCCUGUGAACAUACCACUAUGUUGCCUCGGCGGAUCAGCCCGCGCCCGUAAAACGGGACGGCCCGCCAGCAGGAUCCACCUAAACUCUGUUUCUAUAUGUAACUUCUGAGUAAAAACCAUAAUAAAUCA
rnacentral:misc_RNA from 1 species